rnacentral:rRNA from 1 species
AAUGAACGCUGGCGGGGUGCUUUACACAUGCAAGUCGAACGGAGUGGCGGACGGGUGAGUGAGAUAUUGGAACGUGGCCAGUAGAGGGGGAUAACUGCUAGAAAAAGUGGCUAAUGCCGCAUAAUGUUCGAGCGGGCGAUAUGGGUUUAGCUAGUUGGUGGGGUAAAGGCUCACCAAGGGAACGAGCCGUAGCCGGUUUGAGAGGAAGCCCAGCCACACUGGGACUGAGACACGGCCCAGACUCCUACGGGAGGCAGCAGUGGGGAAUUUUGGACAAUGGGGGAAACCCUGAUCCAGCCAUCCCGCGUGUAUGAUGAAGGCCUUCGGGUUGUAAAGUACUUUUGGCAGAGAAGCGGUAUCUGCAGAAUAAGCACCGGCUAACUACGUGCCAGCAGCCGCGGUAAUAC